CUACGGGUGGCAGCAGUGGGGAAUAUUGCACAAUGGGGGAAACCCUGAUGCAGCAACGCCGCGUGGAGGAUGACACAUUUCGGUGCGUAAACUCCUUUUAUAUAAGAAGAUAAUGACGGUAUUAUAUGAAUAAGCACCGGCUAACUCCGUGCCAGCAGCCGCGGUAAUAGGGGGGGUGCAAGCGUUACUCGGAAUCACUGGGCGUAAAGAGCAUGUAGGCUGGUUUGUAAGUUGGAAGUGAAAUCCUAUGGCUUAACCAUAGAACUGCUUCCAAAACUACUUACCUAGAAUAUGGGAGAGGUAGAUGGAAUUUCUGGUGUAGGGGUAAAAUCCGUAGAGAUCAGAAGGAAUACCGAUUGCGAAGGCGAUCUACUGGAACAUUAUUGACGCUCAGAUGCGAAAGCGUGGGGAGCAAACAGGAUUAGAUACCCCUGUAGUC
rnacentral:rRNA from 1 species